rnacentral:piRNA from 1 species
UGGAAUGAGAGAUGCACAGACUGGGCC